UCAUCUUUCAAGAAGGUUGAGUGUCCAAGU
rnacentral:piRNA from 1 species